GGCGGGUUCGCCACAAAGCACCAACGGUUCCCCACGGGGCUACCGUUGUCCCCCUGGUACCCUGUGUCCCCAUCUCCAACUGCUGCUCUGUGACCCCCACGUCCCCUUUAGCCUGGGGCAACCCCCACCCCAGCCAGGCCAGCCUGAGGACUAGGAGCUGGGGACACGGGGUCCAGCCCUUUGGCCCUCUUCAUCUCCUGCUUUAAUCCCAGCACACCCUCCCGAGGGCGGAGUCACUGACCCCAUUCUCAGUGGAGGAAACUGAGGCUGGAGAACUCACCACAUGAGCUGGCCUGUCCCAGGGCCGGGGCAUGGCCCAGCUGGGGUCGCAACCUAGGUCAAUCUGACCCCAAAGGCUGUGCUUACACAGGAGCCCGAGGAGGGGCCUCUGAGCCCAGCCUUGGAGGUUCACACGGGUGAUGCAGCGUCACUCAGCCUCUGGAUGGAGAGCAGCAGCGAGGAGCUGUGCUCACAGACCCUGAGACACAGCGCCCGUGUGUGCCCAAGGCUGCCACAGCGUGGUGGAGGCUGGGGAGGAGGAGGUGCUGCUGGAGGCCAAGCUGAUGCCAGAGAUCAUCGGGGACCAUGCGGAGGGGGCUCCAGCACAAAGCUCAUGUUGAUCUCCUCCAUUUUGGGGCUGGAGCAGCUGGCCGAGAGCAUGCUGAGCAGAUUGGCUAAGUGAGAGGAAAUGGAUAAAUUCUGAGAAGCACACAAAGUACCAACACUGACUCAAGAAGAAAUGGAGAAUCUGAGCAGACCUACGAUAAGAGAAUAGGCUGAAGCAACGUAAGCACUUCCCAACAAAGAAAAGCCCAGGACCAAAUGGCUUCACUGGCCACUCGUCCCAAACAUUUAAAGAAGAGAUAACACAAAUCCUUCCCAAACUCUUCAAAAAGUGCCAGCGGAGGGAACACGUCCUACCUCAUUCUAUGAUGCCAGCAUUACCCUGAUUCCAAAGACCUUAAAGAAAAGACAACUGCAGACCAAAAUCCUUUAUGAAUAAAGAUGCAAAAAUCCUCAACAAGAUACUAGCAAA